AAGGUUACAGAAAAGAGCCCCCUUUUAAGGAGUUGAGUCAUGCAAAUGAGUCUGGCUCCCAUCGACGUCGCUGGGAUCAAUAUGAGCACGCACGCACAGUGAACGUGAGCUCUGUACUGUGUUCUUUCCUGUGAAGUGGUCAUUCGGAUUUCCUCUUCGUGGAUUCAAAUAUUUAUGGGUCACGCUUUGGAAUCGAACCAUGGAAGCAGGUUCGAUGCAACUGUUGCUGUAAGCGGUGUAUGGACGAAGAUGGACAGAAUACAGCAGUAAGGGGGACAGAGGGGUACAGCAUGAGUCCUGGGCCGACUUCAAGAGCAACUGUGUCCACAUCUGUCCGGAAAGUCCACCGGCAAAUCCAGGGAGAACCUCAAAGGCAGCACAGCCGGCUAUAGGUUUCGAACUCAAUCAAGGAGUGGCUAUAUUCUCUUGACUCGCCCACGUCGGUGGUGUGGAUGGUGUGAGCAUGCGGAAGGGACAGCGUCUCUGUUAAGGUGUGUGAUAAUAAAAAUCCAUGGAUUGCAUUGCCACCAAUGUGAUCCUGGGGAUGUCGAGG